CCUACGGGAGGCUGCAGUGAGGAAUAUUGCUCAAUGGGCGCAACCCUGAACCAGCAAAGUAGCGUGAAGGAUGACUGCCCUACGAUUUGUAACCUUCUUUUAUAAAGAAAUUAAUUGCGGCACAUGUGCCUUUAUGUCUGUACUUUCUGAAUAAGGCACGGCUAGCUACAUGCCAGCAGCCGCGGUAAUACGUAGGGGGCAAGCGUUAUCCGGAAUUACUGGGUGUAACGGGAGCGUAGACGGUAAUGCAAGUCUGGAGUGAAAGGCGGGGGCGAAACCCCAGGACUGCUUUUGAAACUGUGUAACUGGAGUGUGGGAGAGGUAGGUGGAAUUCUUGGUGUAGGGGUGAAAUCCGUAGAGAUUAGGAGGAAUACUCGUGGCGAAGGCGGCCUGCUAGAACGUAACUGACGUUGAGGCUCGAAAGCGUGGGGAGCAAACAGGAUUAGAUACCCGAGUAGUC
rnacentral:rRNA from 1 species